rnacentral:tRNA from 1 species
GGCCCUGUAGUGAAGUUCAUGUUGAGUUGCAAGCUCAUCGAUGUAUGUUGAAGGCAUACCAGGGUCU